CAUCAGCUUGUUGAUGAAAAAAAAGCAACAAAUUUCAAUUGAGCAACAUUAAGAUUAUUUGAAAUAAAAAUACAUCAUUUAGAAGUAGAUUGAUUUCUAAUGCAAAUGUUUCCAGCUCCAAAUGGAGAUGAUUACCUACCCAGGAAUAUUAUCCAGACAAUGAAAGGUGAGCCCAAAAAUGUAACUUUCUUUAUUGGUAGGUGGUUCUUGAGGUGGCUUAGGGAAAUAAAAUCAAACAACUUUUCUACCUACAGUGAGAGUAAUUUACAUAUAUUGGAUUCUCUUUACCAUGUAAUUGUUAGUUUCCUAAUUUACUACUUGAUUGUUAACUCUUCAUUCAAAAACAAUAGCUUCCCUAACAAAAUUCUCUUCAUUCUUUCAUGCUAUAAUUGUAGAAAUUUCUUCACUCUUGAAUUCCACUAAUUUCCAUUAAUUAUCAUUAAAUUAGUAGCUUAAACUUUGUUAAGACCUUCUUCAACUGAAAUAUUUGUUAAUCUAAUUCUUCCAUUCUCCUUAGGGGACUAUUAACUCAAAAAUACUUGUUCUUGGGCACCCCAGGUGGCUAAGCGGUUUAGCGCCGCCUUCAGUCCAGGGUGUGAUCCUGGAGACCUGGGAUGGAGUCUCAGGUUGGGCUCCCUGCAUGGAGCCUGCUUCUCCCUCUGCCUGUGUCUCUGCCUCUCUCUCUGUGUGUCUCUCAUGAAUAAAUAAAUAAAAUCUUAAAAAAAAAAGAAUAUUUGUUCUUUUGUGUUUGUAUUUGUUUACUCUUUUCCCCUCUCAAGUUAACCAUUGGAGACUUUGUUUUUCAACUUUGAAAUCUGUACCGGUAUCACAUAAAUCUAAUAUUGAGAAAAUGUUAUUUCAGCACCUAUAAUAAAAGUGAUCUAUUUGCCGAAAGAGACAAUGAACUAAUGGUUUGAAAAGGUUUCUUUGGGGGUGCCUGGGAGGCUCAGUUGGUUGGGCGUCCACCUUCGGCUCAGGUCAUGAUCCCAGAGUCCUGGGAUUGAGCUCCAUCAGGCUCCAGGCUUAGCGGGAACCUGCUUCUCACUCUCCCUCUUCCUGCAACUCCCCCUGCUUGUUCUCUCUCUCUCUCUCUCUCUCUCUGUAAAAUAAAUAAAUAAAAUCUUAAUAAAUAAAUAAAUAAAAUCUUAAUAAAUAAAUAAAUAAAAUCUUAAAAAAAUAAAAGUUUCUGUGUACAUAUAAGCUACAAAAUAAUUACUAAAAAGUAAAAUUCAGCCACAUUAUUUCACUGAAGAUCGAUUCUGUUGGAGUCUUAGUAUUACUGAAAUCAAAGCACUUACUAUUUAGUGACAUAAAAUUCUCUGAUGAAUAAGCUUCUGUUCAAUGUUUACAUUUUUUAAACAAGAAAGGUGUUUCAGAUUUCUUAUAUAUCCAUUUAGAUUCAUCAUGUGAUACUGGAAACCGUAUGUAUUACAUUACGUUAUAAUGAGUCAUUGUCACUAGGCCAACAGGAAGUAACAAAAAAAGCCAAGAAACAAUGUGAUUUUUUCAAAUCUUUUUUUUUUUUUAAUUUUUUUUUUUAAUUUUUUAUUUAUUUAUGAUAGGCACACAGUGAGAGAGAGAGAGGCAGAGACACAGGCAGAGGGAGAAGCAGGCUCCAUGCACCGGGAGCCUGACGUGGGAUUCGAUCCCGGGUCUCCAGGAUCGUGCCCUGGGCCAAAGGCAGGCGCCAAACCGCUGCGCCACCCAGGGAUCCCACAAUGUGAUUUUUUCAGAAUUAACUGAAUGCUAGAUAUUUUUAAGUAUAGCAGCCUUUUCUUUCUACAGAAUAGACAAGAAUGCCAACAUAUAUAAGUGUAUGUACACUGUAUAUGCAUAGUAUACAGCAUGUAAUUAUAUAAACACAGGCAUUCAUAUGUAGAUGUACACAUAUGAAAAAAUACAUAUGACUAAAUUCCAAUACAAAUACAUUGCUCUCCUUUCCUCAGUAAAAAAAAAAAAUCUGUAUCUUAAAGUUGAAUUUUAAAAGCCAUUAUAAAGAAUCAUCUUUAUACAUUAUAUCUAAUCUACAUCUAGUAUGUGGUUCUUUGUCUAUUUCUGCAUCUAGUAUCAUUUUUCUUGCUAAAGUUAAAUUUUCUUUCAAUUUUAACACAUCACAAAGAUGAUCACAUAUAUUUCCUGCAUAAAAUUUCUUUUCCUGAGAGAAGCUUCUCAAAACAAAAGGCAAACUAAGAAACAAUAAGCAAAUUGAUUUAAAAAUCAACAACCCUUAAAAUGAGCUCUUAAAAAUUAGACUCUUUUUAAUCUUUGUAAAUUACUGCAUUGUAACUGAUCCUUUUGCAUAGUGCUUAUUCAAUGUAGAAGUGUGUGACAGUGUAAUCAUCUUCAGUCCUACAAGUUAUUUGCAGUAAAAUUAGAAACUCAUUUCUGUUAUACUUUUUUUUCCAAAUGAAAAAUAUUCCAUUAUCCUUAUCUCUACAUCUCUAAUUCUGGUGGCCUCUAUAGACCUCUAACUCUUGGCAUGUGCUACCUCAGACAAACAUAUCCCAUAUAAAAUUUAUAUAAAGAAAAGGACCUCAUGAACCUCUCUGUCUUAGAUUUUUUUUUUUUUUAAGAUUCUAUUAAUUUAUUCAUGAGAGACACAGAGGCAGAGACAUAGGCAGAGGGAAGGGAGAAUCAGGCUCCUGUCUCGAUCCCAGGACCCCAGAAUUAUGCCCCGAGCCAGAGAUAGACACUCAACCACCCAGGUUCCCCUGUCUUAAAUUAUUUCAAAAAUAAAUUCAGGGAUCAGCAGUAUGCAUUUAUGGUCACUAGCAUUUUUUUUAAAUUAUCAAAGAAAUCAUUAAACCUUAGAGUUGAUUAUAUUUAAACUACAGAUUCAUGGAGUUUCAGGCAAUAGUCCUUCAUUUUAUCUCAGAGACUUGCUCAACAUCACAUAGCUCCACAAACAAAAGGCUUAAUCUGGGUCCCUUUCCCAGGUGGGUAAUCCCCAGUGUGUGUACUGUAAGAUACAAAUAGCGUAUUGCAAUCUUUAUUGAAGAGAAAAUGAGAAUCAGCACUCUAAAAUACCAUUCAGCUCCAUAGGAUCCCAGGCUAUUCUAGCCCUGUUCUAAACAAAUAGAAAUUUGUAGAUUUUAUAAGCAAAGCCAAAUUUUCAAAUAAGGGAAUCAGGCAAAUGCAGCAGCAUAGGAAGUAUGCUUGCUAAAAAAAGAAUGUGCCUCUUCUUAUCUCAGAAAUACUUCAUAUACAUUUCUUAACUUGAGAAGUCAAGCUAAAUUUGAUUAAGCACAUUUCUACAUAUCACACGAGCCUACCACUAGUAUAGAAGAGAGUGGAGACCAAAAGAAAUGCCACAGAUUUCAUGGUGUGAUUCAGUUUCUUUCCAAAUGACACUUCCUUUGAAAAGGCAUAUAUUUGGAAUUUGCCUUUUAGAAAAUGCUUCUUCUCAAUUUUCAAAUAUAAUUCUGGUGUAAUUAACCUAAUCUGCAUUUCAAAGCUUCUUGAGCUGAGCUUUCCACCAAGCACGAGAUCUCUGUUUAUGGACCAGAAUAAAGAACAGUAUAUUGAACACAAUCUGGAAUGGUCAACAUGCUGGUAGCCAUAAGAUGACAGCCUCCAUACAUCACCGAAGGCAUAAUCUUUCCAAGGUGGCUUAUCAGGCACCUGUUCAUCCUUGUUCUGUCCAUGUUCAAGUGCCCAAUGGACAUUUUGUUGUUUUACAAAAUCUGCAAAGUAAACAGAAAAGAUGCUGAGAAAAAGCAGUAGACAAGAAAAAAAAAAAGAACCUUUCUGGAAGGUGAACAUCAGGAUGAGAUCUACUUAAAACGCUUACAUCCAAGGCAGCUAUAUGAUGUGGAAAUAGCUAAUUGCUUGCUUAAGACAUUUCAGAAUCUGGACUUUACUAAUCCAAAGCAAAGCAUUUCUUUUGAUUUGACACUGGACAUGGUGCUGGGGAAGAAGAAAAAUGUGGAGCCAUUGGCCAAUGUUCUAAGUUCUUCAUACUCAUAUGUCUCAGAAAUAAUAAAGUUGCUGUAUUUACAGGGAAUGCAUCAGAGAUUAAAAUAGCAGAAGAAAAUGGAGCUGCUGUUUGAGGAAGAGCUAAUCUGAUUCAGAAGAUUUUGGAUGAUGAAAUUCAAUCAGACUUUUAUGUAGCUGUUCCAGAAAUAAUGCCCAAGCUUAAUCCAUUAAAGAAGAAAAUGGAAAAAAAAAAAAAAAAAAAAAAAAGAUUUCCAAGACUUGGAAUUCCAUUGCCUGUGACAUCCCCAAAGUUCUUGAAUUAUUUAAAACUGGACAUGAAAUUAAGGUAGAUGAAGAAAGGAAGAGCAUUUUCAAAACCAAAAAAAAGCAAUACUAGAUAUGUCCAGUUACCAGAUAGCUGCCAAUCUGCAAGCAACUGAUCUGUUAUCAAUGUAGGCACAGAUGCCUGAAUUUGGGACCCUUUGUGGUAGGUGCUUUCACUGGAAUUUUGUUACUAAGGAUUGAGCCAUUGUGGCCUAAAGGAGUAGAGACCAAAGAAAGCAGCAGUGAAGCUGUCUACAAGUGUCACACUAGGAAAUUUUCAGUGGAUUAAGAAGCAACAGAGCGGCACCUGGGUGUUUCAGUGCUUGAGCAGCUGCCUUUGGCUCAGGGCAUGAUCCCAGCAUCCUGGGAUAGAGUCCUACACCAGGCUCCCCACAGGGAGCCUACUUCUCCCUUUGUCUAUGUCUCUGCCUCUCUCUGUGUGUCUCUCAUGAAUAAAUAAAUAAAAUCUUAAAAAACAAAAAGUAACAGAAAAUUAUAAAACUGUAUAAUUUAGUGUCUUGUUAUUUCUUGAUCAUCUUACUUAAAAAUGAAUUUUAAUGCUGGAAAAUCUUAUAACACUUUAAAAAGUAAGAAAAUAAAAUGUUCUCUGUGUCUGAAAGAAA
rnacentral:lncRNA from 1 species